rnacentral:rRNA from 1 species
GACGAACGCUGGCGGCGUGCCUAAUACAUGCAAGUAGAACGAGUUGCGAACGGGUGAGUAACGCGUGGUAACCUGCCUGGUAGCGGGGGAUAACUAUUGGAAACGAUAGCUAAUACCGCAUACCAUCAGAUGUGCCCAGAUGGGAUUAGCUAGUAGGUGGGGUAACGGCUCACCUAGGCGACGAUCCCUAGCUGGUCUGAGAGGAUGACCAGCCACACUGGAACUGAGCCACGGUCCAGACUCCUACGGGAGGCAGCAGUGGGGAAUAUUGCACAAUGGGCGCAAGCCUGAUGCAGCCAUGCCGCGUGUGUGAAGAAGGCCUUCGGGUUGUAAAGCACUUUCAGCGGGGAGGCGUUACCCGCAGAAGAAGCACCGGCUAACUCCGUGCCAGCAGCCGCGGUAAUUC